AGUUACUCCCCUUUGAUGUAAUUCAGCCAUGAAAAGUUGUCUGCAAGUCUUGAAGGUUACUGAAGUUUAUACUCUUUAAACUGUUACCACUACUGAGGAAAAGUAAUUGUUAUGGUAGGUAUAUUUUAAUAAAAUCAAGAAAGUGUUUUUCUUAAUGUUUUGUCACUUAUUUAGUGUCUCCAGAAGAUUACUUUGCUAAUAAUUUAGCCACUGGUAUGUAAACAAAAGUACACUUUUUGCAAUUUAUGAAUUUAAUACAACUAGGGCUGUUUAAUUUAUAUAAAAAAAACUUACCAAUGUUAAAUUUAAGAAAAUAGUCAGGCCUGCGGGGAUAUUUAUAUAUUUAAACUCAUUUUUGCUUAUUUUCCAUACCCCCCAUGAUCAUUUUCCAAGCAAAGUUGAGUAGUAAUCGGAUGUGAACUAGAAACCGGGUAUAUGCCCUUUUAAGGAUGUUUGUUUUAAAUACUCAAUAAAUCAGGUAUUUACUCUAGAUGGCUUUUAACUUUGUUUUCAGAGAAUCGUGCAACAUUUUCAAGAUAUGUCACUCUGAGUAGAAUAAGUGGAUCUGUUGUGAUCAACAGUUUUGAAAGCCACACUAAGAACCAGUCACUUACCAAGUUGUACAUGAUGAUUCUUAACAUCCAACAAAUUUUAGAUUUGAAGAACUGUUGAUGUACAUUUACUGGACCUACCAGUCAAGACAGGAGACAAAGAUGAAGAAACUUACUUGCCUGUUCAUAAAGACUGGAGCUGAUGUCACGACCUUAGUAGCAGUUCAAUCCACUUGCCCAGAAGAGAGCAGGAACGGAUAGCUAUAUACAUACCCGCUGGCUCGAUUUAUGCUGGAUUUUGAAUAUGACAAACAAGGAAAACAAUGAAACACCAUUGAAAACAAGAUCCAGUAGUGAUAAUUUUGACUGGACAAAACAAUGCUUUAUUUGUU
rnacentral:lncRNA from 1 species